CCCACUAGGGGCCGAGCCCACGAGGCGCGCAGAGUACUUACUUGUGGAAAGAAACGGGCUUAUCCUUGUCGUAUCGGUUCUUGCAGCCGUAGGCGGAACAGGACUGCACCAUCCUUCCGGUCCUCAGUUACUUAACUUCUGCCUCCCCAGCAGGCAGUUGAGGCUGCUAUCAAUGUCGCCGCGCUCGGCUUUGACACCCUCGCUGCUUCUGUAGCUUUGGUCAGCAGUUAGAGUGAUGAGAGCCUCAUUCAGAGUGACUCAUGUGCUCGUUUUGUUGUUUGCAUUAGCAGAAGGACCACAGCCAUCGCCCGUCUCCCAUCUCCAAAAUGGCGGAGGCAGCUUCAACCUCACCUCUCGCGAGGAGUUCGUCCUACUGUUUCUGAUUAGCCCUGAGGUCAGAGGUAACGUUCCCUGGCCCCCAUUUCUCGGAUCAUCCAGGUUCCACUGUGAAUCUGAACUAACUGCUUCCUGGCUCCUUCAAUCAAAUUGAGGAGACCAAGCUGCAGACAGUAAAUAAAAGUGUCCCAACGAGAAGAGCAGGAUAUCGGAAGGAAUCUACCCAAUUACCCCAGGCCCAGAGGUAAAACCAAGAGCACGGUACAGCCAUCUCUCAACUGACCGGGUUAUCCACGGAGUGCAUCACUGAAGCCUGGGCUGUUGGCAAAUAGACUUCGCCCAGCCUGCCAGACCUCACGGAUUCCCAGCCCCUGCCUGGGGUGCUGCGCUGGGGGAUGGCCGAGGCACAGCCAGACCCAGAGAGAGUCCACAAUCGAUAAGGAACGUCAGCCAGGGGUUUGAGGGGGAGCAUCUGCUUUCUCUGAUGGCCAUUUAAUCCCCUACCCCAACACCUGAUCUUUCGUUACUUGGCUGCUCACUAGCACUUCCAACAGAUAAUUAAGGAUAGACGCUGAAAUAGUGUUUUGUAAUUUGUUAAUGACUUAGACAAAAACCUGAGGGAAGAGGUUGAAAUUAAUGGAUGAGGCAAUGACGGGAUUGGUCAGUACUGACUAAAUGGGCACAAGGUAUAGAAAACCCUGCAUCGCAUGGAAUGGAUUCCAGAUACUUUAUUUCACCCCCAGCAGCAUGAACAGUAACACUGUAUACCUCGGAAUUCUGACUCUUAGGCAAAAGAUACAAAGGGGAGAAAGCAAAGUACAAAUCACUGUAUGCUGCAUGUUAAAUCAGUACAGUUUGGGAGCAAUUAGCACCCUAUCUUGCAUAUAGCUGUUCAAACGGAAAGAAAUACUACCAAUAAAAAAUAGGUCUAAUGAUGAGAUAAAUUUUAAGGA